GCAGUCGAGCGGGGUGAUGGUGCUUGCACUAUCACUUAGCGGCGGACGGGUGCAGUAAUGCUUAGGAAUCUGCCUAUUAGUGGGGGACAACAUCUCGAAAGGGAUGCUAAUACCGCAUACGUCCUACGGGAGAAAGCAGGGGAUCACUUGUGACCUUGCGCUAAUAGAUGAGCCUAAGUCGGAUUAGCUAGUUGGUGGGGUAAAGGCCUACCAAGGCGACGAUCUGUAGCGGGUCUGAGAGGAUGAUCCGCCACACUGGGACUGAGACACGGCCCAGACUCCUACGGGAGGCAGCAGUGGGGAAUAUUGGACAAUGGGGGGAACCCUGAUCCAGCCAUGCCGCGUGUGUGAAGAAGGCCUUAUGGUUGUAAAGCACUUUAAGCGAGGAGGAGGCUCUUUUGGUUAAUACCCAAGAUGAGUGGACGUUACUCGCAGAAUAAGCACCGGCUAACUCUGUGCCAGCAGCCGCGGUAAUACAGAGGGUGCAAGCGUUAAUCGGAUUUACUGGGCGUAAAGCGCGCGUAGGCGGCCAAUUAAGUCAAAUGUGAAAUCCCCGAGCUUAACUUGGGAAUUGCAUUCGAUACUGGUUGGCUAGAGUGUGGGAGAGGA
rnacentral:rRNA from 1 species